UACGGAGGGUGCAAGCGUUAUCCGGAUUCACUGGGUUUAAAGGGUGCGUAGGCGGGCAGGUAAGUCCGUGGUGAAAUCUCCGGGCUUAACUCGGAACGGUCAAGUGAUACUGUCGGACUAGAGUACAGAAGGGGCAACUGGAAUUCUCGGUGUAGCGGUGAAAUGCGUAGAUAUCGAGAGGAACACCUGCGGCGAAGGCGGGUUGCUGGGCUGAUACUGACGCUGAGGAGCGAAAGCAUGGGGAGCGAACAGG
rnacentral:rRNA from 1 species